CCACAGUUGGUGUUGAUGGUGUGGUGGAAAAGAUGAUCUCACAUUUGCAGAAGUUUUGGGCUGGGAUGAAGGUCAGCUGGCAGGAGUUCACACAAGAUGACACAGAGGGAAUGAUUGGCUAGAGACAACAACCUGUAAUUGUAUCCAGAGGGGCUGUGUACAAUUAUAUCACUCCCAGCAAUUAUGUAUAGGAAGCUGUGAUUUAUGAAUCAGGCUAAAAAGAUGUUACUGGAUACUAGGCUGCCUCUUGAGUUCCCAGGUAGCCUCUGUGUUGAAAACCUCACUUGAGUUUAGUGAUGGUGCUUGUGUGUUCACCCAGGACUGUGGCACCUUCAGCUGUGAAUGCUGUACAUUUUCUUCUCAAUACUGUUCCUGUGACUGGGUACCACGCACUUUUCAUGCAUGACACAUUCACUGACAAGAUGACAUCCAAGAAGACACUUGAAGAAGCAGAGCACAGAGACAAGAAAGGUGAAAAAUCUUUUUGAAGAAGGAGUUUCUCUCACAUGCACGUCUGUGUCUCCCACCAAGGUGGAGAUUACAACUAAAUAAGAGCUAUUCAUUCUCUAACCAAAGUUUGAUCCGUCUCUGCAUUCGAAUCAGCAGCUCAGCCCCACCAAGUCCCUGAAACACUGUUUGCAUUGUUUACUCUGUGUGGUACCAGGAAAAAGCUGGUGUUACUGUUAUUUAGCACCACCAUUCUCCAGGCUGCCAAAAUCCUUGUGCCAAAAAAGAAAGGUCAUUUGAACCUCAGUGUCUGACAAAACAAGCUCAAACUGUCUACUGUGGGAACAUGCUUUUACUUGGGCUGAUCCCAUUCUGCAGCCAGAAUGGGUAAUGGCAAGCUCUUCCCCUCCCGCUGUGUCUGGAGGUGAGUUCUAAAAUCCCAAUGAAUCAUUUUGUUUGUUUUGUGACGCCUUUUAUUUUUUAAUAGACACUGCCUUUUGUUAAUGACAAAAAAAUGGCUCCUUCCAUCUCUGUGAAUAGCAGUUGCUGCUGCG
rnacentral:lncRNA from 1 species